ACUCUACCGAAAAAUCGACAUUCUUUCUGAGCCCUCCAGAAUCGCGUUCAUACUAAGGCUUUGACAUUCCUGUUCUUCGGUGAUAAAAUUCCCAUUCUGAAUUUACUUGAAUGUCUAUGUUCCCCGGAAUAACUUCUUGGGGCCCGUCAACACUUAUUGAACUCUAUCCUGGCGUGACUAAUGUGCGCGAAACGUAGUCAUCAAUUAUGAAGGGAGAUAAUUAAUGCACGAUGAGUAUAUGACAGUACAUAUUCUAUAUAAAGUCGGAAAAAUGGAAUAAUUUACCAUCCUUUCGUCAAACUUCGUGGAUUACGGAAGGAUGAAGCUACUGAAGAGUGUGAUUGGACUGCUGUUGGUCAUUUCGAUGAUCGCAAUAGCCUCAGGAGCCUCAGGAGCAUUUGCCGAAUAUACCUGUCCCAAUGAUGAAGAUUGCUUGGCGCACUGCAAAGAAUUGGAUAGUAAAUUUAAGAGAGGGAUAUGUGAUAAUGGCGACUGUGUUUGUGUGAGCAGAUGAGGUAGGACAAUCAACUACGUGAUUUUUGUGCAUUUGCCAAUUGUAAUUCGAUAUGAAUUAAAUUUUAAAGCAAAAUCGUUGAUAUCAUUCUCAUUAUUUCUUUGUCUCUUAUGUUCCUUCCUCAUUAUCCUGCCCACUAAUUUAAUUAUUUACAGUUUGGAAAAAAUAUACUCAUUGGUUUAUUCGAUUUAAACAUUUGAAGAUAAUGCAGACAAUGAAAUUUAUUUACCUAAGUCCUAUUGUUCCCCAUCGAAUGUAGUGUUUCCGUCACUCGAAACGUGUUGAUAUUUUUAUAAUAAAAUGAUUCUGGGCAGUUUCGAGUUUCAUUAAAAGUCACGUCCAAACUUACAAACUAUUCAAUACCGAUCAUAUAAAUAUUCCGGGAUAAUUUUCUGUCACAAGUAGAGUUUAAGACCCUCGACGAUGGCAACUAUGGUGCGAGUCAGGCUCACUGUGUUAUUAACAAUUAGUAUCUACGGUGUUAAUACGCAGACGAAUAACAUAAUUUUAAACCGACAAAUUUCGCCUGCUCUUCAUCAUUUCGAAAAUCUUCCGAGUUUUAAUAAAUUUAACGAGAACUGCGGUGAUUGCUCACAUUUGAGUCCGAAGGAAUUACAAUGGCCAAAGGACAUUACGAUGGCAUAUAAAUAUCCGCCAAAUUUCGCCGAAAAUCGAGGGGACCCAUCCGCGAGGAAUCGGCGAAUUCGACGUACGCUAAAUACCAAGAGGGCCUUCCACAGGCACCUGCCAAAUCCCAGGAGACGACUGAAUCACCUGAGGCCUCGGACUCAUCGACCAUUCGUCUAUCAUACGCACCAUUCAAUCCCUCGUUACCGUCGACCGCAGCUUCCCCGUCUGCAUACUCAUUACCGUCACCGUCCACUGCGCCCUUCACGUCCUAUUUACAUUCGUAGAUACUGAUGCUGCAGUGAACUGACCACUGGAGAUAAAUUCAAUGAUUUCUCCGUCGAAUUUUUCAUUCAAACAAUUAAUUAUUUUACUUCCAUAUUCCUCAUUCAUUAGUCUCUCCGCGAUUUCAAUUAUUUACGGUACGAAAAGAAAACUAAUGAACUAUGAAAUUAAUAUGGAAACUUUAUUCAUUAUUACUACAAUGAAUUAUUAUUAAUUAUAAAAUAUUUUAACUGUCGUAAAAAAUAAAAAUCCUUUUUUUUUUUAAUUGCAAACGACUAAAUCGAGGAUAUUGACCACUUAAAAUUAUUACAUAUAAAAUUCAUAAAUAUAUAUGUAUCAUUAUAGUAAUUAUAUUGUUAUGUAAGAUACUAACAAUUUAAUAUUUAAAAAGCAA